UCGACCGUGAGGUUAAAUCUGAAGGAAGCCGGCGGCAACUCUUCGGCCUGAGGAACACGAAUCUCAUAUGAGGCCAGCGUUCGUUGGAUGAGCCUGCAUGACAAGGCAAAGUUCGUAUUGCUAAAGGCGAGCGAAGGUAAAUGAGAUAGCCGCAAAAUAAGAAGCGAUUCGAC
rnacentral:ncRNA from 1 species